GCCAUGGUUCGCGGGAUUAGUUUGAUCCUGGCUCAGGAUGAACGCUAGCGGCAGGCCUAAUACAUGCAAGUCGAACGGUAAGGCCCUUUCGGGGGUACACGAGUGGCGGACGGGUGCGUAACGCGUAUGCAACAUGCCUUCCAGCGGGGGAUAUGCCAGGGAAACUUGGUGCAAUACCCCAUGGUAUUCUCGGGUCACAUGGCCUGGGGAUUAAAACUCCGGUGCUGGAGAUUGGCAUGCGUGACAUUAGCUAGUUGGCGGGGUAACGGCCCACCAAGGCGACGAUGUCUAGCUGGUCUGAGAGGAUGAUCAGCCACACUGGGACUGAGACACGGCCCAGACUCCUACGGGAGGCAGCAGUAGGGAAUAUUGGACAAUGGGCGAAAGCCUGAUCCAGCCAUGCCGCGUGAGGGAAGAAGGUCCUCUGGAUCGUAAACCUCUUUUGGCGGGGAAUAAACCUGCGCUAUACGCGCAGCUGAAGGUACCCGCAGAAUAAGCACCGGCUAACUCCGUGCCAGCAGCCGCGGUAAUACGGAGGGUGCAAGCGUUGUCCGGAUUCAUUGGGUUUAAAGGGUGCGUAGGCGGCCUUGUAAGUCAGCGGUGAAAUACCCUCGCUCAACGAGGGAACUGCCGUUGAUACUGUGAGGCUUGAGUUCGUGCGAGGUUGCUGGAAUGCGUGGUGUAGCGGUGAAAUGCAUAGAUAUCACGCAGAACACCGAUUGCGAAGGCAGGUGACUGGCACGCGACUGACGCUGAGGCACGAAAGUGUGGGGAGCAAACAGGAUUAGAUACCCUGGUAGUCC
rnacentral:rRNA from 1 species